rnacentral:rRNA from 1 species
UACGUAGGGCGCUAGCGUUGUUCGGAAUCACUGGGCGUAAAGGGAGCGUAGGCGGAAAGGUAAGUUAGGAGUGAAAUCUGUUGGCUUAACUGGCAGCUUGCUUCUAAAACUGCUUUUCUUGAGUAUGGGAGAGGGUGAUGGAAUUCCAGGUGUAGCGGUGGAAUGCGUAGAUAUCUGGAAGAACACCAGUUGCGAAGGCGGUCACCUGGCCCAAUACUGACGCUGAGGCUCGAAAGCUAGGGGAGCAAACAGG